GAUGAACGCUGGCGGCGUGCCUAAUACAUGCAAGUCGAGCGAACAGACGAGGAGCUUGCUCCUCUGACGUUAGCGGCGGACGGGUGAGUAACACGUGGAUAACCUACCUAUAAGACUGGGAUAACUUCGGGAAACCGGAGCUAAUACCGGAUAAUAUAUUGAACCGCAUGGUUCAAUAAUGAAAGACGGUUUUGCUGUCACUUAUAGAUGGAUCCGCGCCGCAUUAGCUAGUUGGUAAGGUAACGGCUUACCAAGGCAACGAUGCGUAGCCGACCCGAGAGGGUGAUCGGCCACACUGGAACUGAGACACGGUCCAGACUCCUACGGGAGGCAGCAGUAGGGAAUCUUCCGCAAUGGGCGAAAGCCUGACGGAGCAACGCCGCGUGAGUGAUGAAGGUCUUCGGAUCGUAAAACUCUGUUAUUAGGGAAGAACAAAUGUGUAAGUAACUAUGCACGUCUUGACGGUACCUAAUCAGAAAGCCACGGCUAACUACGUG
rnacentral:rRNA from 1 species